UAGGGAAUCUUCGGCAAUGGGGGCAACCCUGACCGAGCAACGCCGCGUGAGUGAAGAAGGUUUUCGGAUCGUAAAGCUCUGUUGUAAGUCAAGAACGGGUGUGAGAGUGGAAAGUUCACACUGCGACGGUAGCUUACCAGAAAGGGACGGCUAACUACGUGCCAGCAGCCGCGGUAAUACGUAGGUCCCGAGCGUUGUCCGGAUUUAUUGGGCGUAAAGCGAGCGCAGGCGGUUUGAUAAGUCUGAAGUUAAAGGCUGUGGCUCA
rnacentral:rRNA from 1 species